rnacentral:tRNA from 1 species
UCCCUGGUGGCUCAAUUGGUAAAGAAUCUGCCUGUAAUGCAGAAGACCUGGGUUCAAUCCCUGGGUUGGGAA